GAUGAACGCUGGCGGCGUGCUUAACACAUGCAAGUCGAACGAAGCACCUUGAUUUGAUUCUUCGGAUGAAGAUCUUGGUGACUGAGUGGCGGACGGGUGAGUAACGCGUGGGUAACCUGCCUCAUACAGGGGGAUAACAGUUAGAAAUGACUGCUAAUACCGCAUAAGACCACAGCACCGCAUGGUGCAGGGGUAAAAACUCCGGUGGUAUGAGAUGGACCCGCGUCUGAUUAGGUAGUUGGUGGGGUAACGGCCUACCAAGCCGACGAUCAGUAGCCGAGCUGAGAGGGUGACCGGCCACAUUGGGACUGAGACACGGACCAAACUCCGACGGGAGGCAGCAGUGGGGAAUAUUGCACGAGGGGGGAAACCCUGAUGCAGCGACGCCGCGUGAGCGGUGAAGUAUUUCGGUAUGUGAAGCUCUAUCAGCAGGGAAGAAAAUGACGGUACCUGACUAAGAAGCACCGGCUAAAUACGUG
rnacentral:rRNA from 1 species